CAUGCCUCUCCAAGACCCUCAGGUUCUUGUGAAUUGAGUUUGGUCUGAUGGCAGAAUCCACACACGAUGCAGGACUCUGUCUAUUUAGCUAAGAACUAAGGCUUAUCUUCCCCACUUCCAAACAGGCACCUGUCCAACUCCUCUUCUCCUCCCCAAGAUGCAGAGAUUUGAGCUGAAAGUAAGGAAUUUGUGCUCAAGAGGUAUAGUGGAUAGUGUCCUGUGUCAUCCAAGAAGAGACCACAGAGCCUGCGGAACUGAUACAGAGAAGAAGGCCAUGUGAAGACAGAGGCGGACUGGAGUGAUGCUGCCACAAGCCAAGGAACACCUGGAGUCACUAGUAGCCGGAAGAGGUCACACCCAAGGCACCACUGGGGUCUCUUCUGACCAGAUGAUGAAAUGGGAGAAAAAGGAUGUCAAUCCUUUGAAGAGUUCCAGCCAGCCUAAACUGCUCCACAAGAUGGCAUGGAGGAGACAAUGUCUACCAAAGCAACAAGUAAUGUGCUGAUGAGAGGGGUAUCAGCAUCGUUAAGAAGUUCAGUGGUGGCUGCCCUCUGUAAGCCAGAACUGACACUAGGAGAUGCCAUUACAGAACUGGGAUUGCUGAGAGAAAAGCGGACAAUCAGAUUCUGAAACAGUAAGGCAGGUGAUGAUGCAAACCAUCAGAAGCCAAGUGAUACAAUUAUUAUAAUCAGAAGAGUGGUCAGAGUGGCAGCCAGAGGGUUGCAAUCUGGCUCGAAGAGAUCUGAACCAUGAGGACAUUUUGUGGAAUGUAACAUGGGUCCACUAUAUAGAUGACAUCAUGGUAAUCUGGCUAGAUGAGCAAAAAGUGGCUGACACUUUGGAGGCCUUCUUAAGCCUAGUGUGGCACCAAGAAUAUGGUAGAUGCUCAGCAAAACUGAAGAAAGGGUGGCAGGAAGUGAAAACUCAACUCCUGAGUUCCUGCAUAUAUGACCCAGUGAAGAAUUAUUUCUGUCUGAAAGGAGAAAGGAUUCUGGGGAGACAGCAGGGCCCGAACCACCAUGAAUCUGUCUCCCCACCUAGACAACAAUGGCACUAGCAGAAUCUGUCUGAUGUAACUAUUUUGGAACUCUGGAGUCUAUUGAAGGCUUGCAACUUCCAGGGGAAGGUUUCGAAGGCAUGUCUUUCCAGCUGGGCCAGACUGAAAUCUCAAUCUUGUGACCACUGCGUUUUUCCAAAGAUGACUGCAAAAUCUCUCCUAUCCCACGUGCUCUUCUUACAAUGUGACCUUGAUGUUCUCCCAUCAAGUGUUGGGGUCCAUGUUCCUUCCCCUAGAACCUGGGCAGAGUUUUCUGUCUUGACUAAUAAACUCUGAUGGAAGUCACACUAAGCAACUCUUAAGACUAGAAAAUAAGAAUGCCAUGCUCUUCUACCUGCUUUCUUAGAGACGCCUACGAUUGGAAUCCAGCUGUCAUACUGUGAAGAAAUCCAAACUCACCCAGGUGGAGAGACCAACAGAGAGGCCACAUAUAGAUACUUUGGGUAAACAUUCAGCUGAGGUCUCAGCCAAUAACUAAUCAGCUGCUAGACACGUGAGUGAACCUGUCUUUAGAUACCUCCAUCUCCCAGCUGUGAAGCCACCAUUAUCCUUUGAGGCCCAGAGAAGAUCCUAAACACAGUAGAGAGAAGCCAUCCCCACGAUGCUCUGUCUGAAUUCCUGACCCACAAAAUUGAUGAACCUAAUAAUAUGAUUAUUUUGUACCACUAAGUUUGGAGCCUUUUGUUAAGCAACAAUAAAUAACUAUACAGGUUGUUAGAAUAAAUACCCUGGUUCACUCUCCUCCCUCAAUCUUCUGUUAGUACACCCCACAGGCCAAACCAACUGGAAUCCAGAGAGCAGGGGAGCCCACCGAAACAAACCAUAUAAGCCAGCUUCCUGGGGCAGAAAGCAGGGUGGAGCAUGGAUCUGGAGAGACCAGCAGAUAUCCGCUAUAGACUCUUCCUGGAAGAAAAAAAUAAGAAGAGAUUUCCUUUUCUCUGCACCCAUCCCCAACUUCCACCCCUGCAGUGUAGAAGCCAAAAUUGAUUAGGCUGGCUAAUUUGAAGAGAAAAGAUGGUAAGGACUCUGUGCUUUAGAGGUAAAAGAAGGAGAUGGUCUGGUUCACUCUGAUGAAGCUCACUGGAGGUGGUGGAACCACUGGUGGAGAUGGCUGCCUGGAUUCUCAAGACAAGCUCUAUUCCUCUCAGCCUUGUGAGUUCCUGUGGAGGGCCUAUGUCUGAGGUCAGCCCUGGGGGAGAGGAUAACCAAGUCUCACCCAAGCUGACAGCCUCCUGUUGAAGCAUGUGGGCCUGGGCAAAGACCAAUGACAAUGACGUCUAAAAGUGACUAAGAACUAUUGGUCUCUACUAUUUUCCUUGACCAUUGACUCAGA
ensembl:lncRNA